rnacentral:rRNA from 1 species
GUACACGCUGUGACUAGCAUAUCAAUAAGCGGAGGAAAAGAAACUAACAAGGAUUCCCCUAGUAACGGCGAGUGAAGCGGGAAGAGCUCAAAUUUGAAAUCUUAAAGGGUUUCCCUUUACGAAUUGUAGUUUAAAGAAGUGUUUUCUGUUGAGGUUUUGGUAAAAGUUCUUUGGAAUAGGACAUCAUAGAGGGUGAGAAUCCCGUAUUUGACCUUUACUUUCAACUUUGUGAUACACUUUCAAAGAGUCGGAUUGUUUGGGAAUGCAGUCCAAAAUGGGUGGUAAAUUUCAUCUAAAGCUAAAUAUUGGCGAGAGACCGAUAGCGAACAAGUACCGUGAGGGAAAGAUGAAAAGAACUUUGAAAAGAGAGUUAAACAGUACGUGAAAUUGUCAAAAGGGAAGCGUUUGACACCAGUGUUGUUUUUCUGAAAAUCAAUUAAAGAACUGUUUAUGCUAAGCUGUUUAGUACUUUAUCAGCUAUCUGUUUAGUUUUGAGCUUUUCUUUAAUGCACUUUUCAGUUAACAAGUCAACAUCAAUUUCUUUUGCUGUAAAAAAGCUUGAGGAAGGUGGCUUGAGAUUCGUCUUAAGUGUUUAUAGCCUCUUGCCUAUGCAGUCGGAGAGAUUGAGGUCUGCAGCGUAGAUCCUUCGGGGCUAAAUGCAUUUGUGCUAAGUUAUAGCAUUUUAUAGACAACUUGUUGACUAUGAUUUGUCUUGUAGCUUACUCGCUUAUGUUAUUUUACCUACGCUUAGGAUGUUGAAGAUGUAGCACAUCAU